rnacentral:misc_RNA from 1 species
UCUCCGUUGGUGAACCAGCGGAGGGAUCAUUACAGGACUCGCAAGACUCCUACAACCCUGUGAACUUAACUAUAAGCACGUUGCUUCGGCGGGUGUCUCGGAGGGGGUUCUCCCUCCCGGAGACGCUAAACCCGCCGGCAGCCUACUAUACUCUGUCUCUUUGCGUUGGCAUCUCGAGUACAAUCAAACAAGUUAAAACUUUCAACAACGGAUCUCUUGGUUCUG